rnacentral:rRNA from 1 species
GCCGGCAGGCAGAUUGCUCUCUGCAACUCUCACAUGGUCGCCCACUGAAUCUAAGCAGGGCUGCGCUCAGUGAGUACUUGGAUGGGAGACCACGAAAGCUAGGUUGCAGCUGGAA